AUUGGGCGUAAAGAGUUGCGUAGGUGGCAGAGUAUGUCUGUAGUGAAAGCGUGUGGCUCAACCAUAUACACAUUACAGAAACUGCUCAGCUAGAGGGCGAGAGAGGUUACUAGAAUUCCUUGUGUAGGAGUGAAAUCCGUAGAUAUAAGGAGGAAUACCGAUGGCGUAGGCAGGUAACUGGCUCGUCCCUGACACUAAGGCACGAAAGCGUGGGGAGCAAACGGGAUUAGAUACCCCGGUAGUCCACGCCGUAAACGAUGGAUGCUAGCUGUAAGAGGUAUCGACCCCUCUUGUAGCGAAGCUAACGCGUUAAGCAUCCCGCCUGUGGAGUACGGUCGCAAGACUAAAACAUAAAGGAAUUGACGGGGACCCGCACAAGCGGUGGAGCGUGUUGUUUAAUUCGAUGGUAAACGAAGAACCUUACCCAGGUUUGACAUCCUUGGAAUUUUGCCGAAAGGCGAGAGUGCUUUAUUGAGCCAAGUGACAGGUGUUGCAUGGCCGUCGUCAGCUCGUGUCGUGAGAUGUUUGGUUAAGUCCAUCAACGAGCGCAACCCUUAUAGUCUGUUGUAUUUUUCAGGCUAGACUGCCCCGGUAACGGGGA
rnacentral:rRNA from 1 species